rnacentral:rRNA from 1 species
AUUGAACGCUGGCGGCAUGCUUUACACAUGCAAGUCGAACGGCAGCGAGGAGAAGCUUGCUUCUCUGUCGGCGAGUGGCGAACGGGUGAGUAUAGCAUCGGAACGUGCCAAGUAGUGGGGGAUAACCAAACGAAAGUUUGGCUAAUACCGCGUAAGCUCUAAGGAGGAAAGUAGGGGACCUAAAUAAGGCCUUACGCUAUUUGAUCGGCCGAUGUCGGAUUAGCUAGUUGGUGGGGUAAUGGCUCACCAAGGCAAUGAUCCGUAGCGGGUCUGAGAGGACGAUCCGCCACACUGGGACUGAGACACGGCCCAGACUCCUACGGGAGGCAGCAGUGGGGAAUUUUGGACAAUGGGGGAAACCCUGAUCCAGCCAUGCCGCGUGUAUGAAGAAGGCCUUAGGGUUGUAAAGUACUUUUGUUGGGGAAGAAAAGCUAGUUUUUAAUAAAAAUUAUUGAUGACGUUACCUAAAGAAUAAGCACCGGCUAACUACGUG